rnacentral:rRNA from 1 species
AGUCGAACGAUGAACUUUACUGACUUCUUCGGAAAGAUUUAAAGCGAAUUAGUGGCGGACGGGUGAGUAACACGUGAGUAACCUGCCUUACACAAGGGGAUAGCCGUUGGAAACGACGAAUAAUACCCUAUGAAACUAUCACUUCGCAUGAAGCGAUAGUCAAAGUGUUAGCGGUGUAAGAUGGACUUGCGUCUGAUUAGCUAGUUGGUGAGAAAAAAGCCCACCAAGGCAACGAUCAGUAGCCGGCUUGAGAGAGUGUACGGCCACAUUGGGACUGAGACACGGCCCAGACUCCUACGGGAGGCAGCAGUGGGGAAUUUUGCACAAUGGGGGAAACCCUGAUGCARCGACGCCGCGUGAUUUAGAAGGCCUUCGGGUUGUAAAAAUCUUUUGUAUAGGAAGAAAAUGACAGUACUAURCGAAUAAGGUCCGGCUAAUUACGUGCCAGCAGCCGCGGUAAUACGUAAGGACCGAGCGUUGUCCGGAAUCAUUGGGCGUAAAGGGUACGUAGGCGGGUCAUUAAGUUAGAAGUCAAAGGCUAUAGCUCAACUAUAGUAAGCUUCUAAAACUGGAGACCUUGAGUAAUGGAAGGGAAAGUGGAAUUCCUAGUGUAGCGGUGGAAUGCGCAGAUAUUAGGAGGAAURCCGGUGGCGAAGGCGACUUUCUGGUCAUUAACUGA